rnacentral:lncRNA from 1 species
GUGCCUGCAGUGUGAUAGCAACAGAAGGCCUUCAAUGUCUACAGUGGUGAAGGUUUUGGAAGGUGCGAUGGGCGUGGAAACGAACCUUGAGUAUAAUUUUGUAGCUACUGGUACUCCAAUACCUAGCAAAGAUGAUUGUGCGGGUUCUUCAUUUGUUCCUCGUGCGUCUCUUUUGUCAGGGCCUAGGUAAAAAUAUAAUUUCUGUAUAUAAGCCUGUAAUUGUACUUGCUGGGUAGUUACAUUUGUAAUCAGAAAACUAAUUUUCUACAUUAUAUGUUAUGUCUUCCAAAAGUAGGCAUCAUGUAACCUCUCAUGCAUAAUGUUAUAUAAAUUUGGCCCAUUUAUCCAUCGUGUUUACCACAGUUUGCUAAGGAAUAGAAGGCAGCCAAUUAAGUUCACUAUUUUAAAAAUAAACAAAAUUUCUUUGAACCUUUCGAAAUAUAAAAUUAAAUGUAUUUAGACACCAUAGUUCUAAAUCAUUAAGGCAAAAUAUUAAGCUCGGAGGUGUAGGCCCAUUUAAAUAAAUAGGAAGAAAGCUUGAACCCCUUGAUCUUUAAAUUAGUUAUAGAGCACUUUACUAUUACACUGUUUUUAUUUGGGCAAAAGGUCAACUGAAGAAAAUUAUGAGCUGCCAAUUUUGUGGAAAAUAUCCCUUUUAAGACAAUUAUAAUGAAGAAAACUUGAGCGAGGAGUAAAAUGACCAGAAUUAUUAGGUCGGGGGAGAUUCUGUAAAAUUUGAUUACCGUAGCAGCAUGUUGGUGGUUAAUCUGGAAGGAAAGAAAUAACGUGAUUUUUAAAAAUCACUUUACUGACCCUCUCUUCGUAGUCGGCCAUAUCAAGGAGUUGGUAAGAGAGUGGAGGGACUUUUGUUGAGCUGAAUAAUCCGUCGAUAAAUUUGAAUUCGUUUUAGAUCUAUCCUAAAAGAAAUGAUCCAACUAAAAGCAAUAUAGAUAAAAAAAAAUGCCAAGUCUAUAGCCCAAAGACGAUUAAAGGAAUAGAAACUUCCAUCCAAGAGUUAAAAUCUUCUUCUCUAGGCUUUUAAAAAAUCAUUUUAAGUAUUUGUAUUAAAAAAAAUAAAAAAUGACAAAAUUAUCGAAGAAAAGACGGCCCUUGUAUAAUAACAUUAUAAGAUCAUAAUUUUAUUUGAGUUACAAGGCUCGUGUUACUCAAUAAGAAAAAUAUACUGCUUCACACAUAAAAAAAAAUUAACACGGGGAUCAUUUUUCUCACAACAGAUCUAAAACAUAUUUAAAUUUACAAAAAAUAUUAAUUUAAUUUUUAAAAAAAACAUAUAUAAAUAAAUAUAUCACAGCAUGUCGGAAGUUUCUUGAUGGAGCUUGGAGCUCUCCACUCAACUAUUGUGAGUCUUGUUGUUGUGCGUGUGGAUUCAACUUCCAUUCAACGUUUCUUCGGGUCAAUGGGAGCAAACCAAAGAAAAAUUAGAGCGCCUAUUUAUUAGGUUGAUGUCGAUGGAUUUUCAAAAAAUAAAAUAAAAUAAAUUAGAGAUUUAUAAAACUUCCUUCAAUAAUAGGCCAUCAAGAAAUAAGCUUUUAUAUAUAUAUAUAUAUAUAUAUAUAUAUAUAUAUAUAUAUAUANNNNNNNNNNNNNNNAUAUAUAUACUUUUGUUUAUUGGCACUAUCUUAAUUUUCAUAUAUUUGAUCUGAAAAUUUUUGAUUAUAUAGGCAUAAAGGCAUCAGGUCCAGGACCAUCCAACCGAGUCCAAAAUUUUAUUAAAAAAUUUAAAGCAAAAAUAUUAGUUAAUUAAAUAUGUUCUAUAAAACAUAAAGACUAGCAUUCAAAAAUUUGUACAAUUUUUUUAUUCCUGAAUCAAACACUACCGAUUUUUAUUUGGCUUAAUUAGGCUAUACCAUGCUGUAUUUUAUAUAUAUUUUUCUCUUUCUAUAUCAUAUAAUUUUUGUAUUUUAAAAGUACCACUCAAUUAUUUUUUUUUCAAUUACUACACUAUAUGUUAUGAACCUAUAAUUUUAUAUAAAAAUUGUUAAAACAUACUUAUUAAAGUGACAAACUAAAUAUUCAACUCAUUUUGGUAUAAAAAAUAAUAAAAUUUAAAAAUUUAAAAAAUCAAAGAUAACUGGAUAAAAAAAUUUAGUGAGUUCAUCAUUGAGAUUAAUUUUAUAUUUUUCUACUAUUUAACUGGUGCCUCUUAAUAAAAUUAUUAGAUUUCGUCUAAAAUAAAAGAUUUAUUAAUUUGUAAUGUAAAAUUGGCAAGAUAAAAAAUUAGUAAUAUCUACGAAAAAAAAAAAUAGGAUAAAAAAUAAAAAUAAAUUUAAAAUAUAGUGUAGAAAUUGACAAACCAUAAUAUUACAAAGCUGUUUGUGGGGAAAAAAAUGUAUAAUACAAUAAAUAAAAAAUAAUACUAAAGUAUAAUAGAAUGGAGUGUAAUUAAGCCUUCUAAACUAUAGAUCUUAAACCCUAAAAAUGUAAGGUGCUGAUGUAUCAGCCAUAUUAUUUAGUGGAUAUAAGUAGGAGACCAAAAGAUUUUUUUUUUUUUUUGGGAAAACUUCAAAUACCAUUUCUGUGAUUUUAUACUUUCUCACUUUAAUAUUAUGUGAUUUAAAGUGUAUUAUAUUUUUUUAUUUUUGUUAUUUUCUUUACUAUUUUUUUUUAAAUCGGUGAUAAAAUAAAUAUUCGAUAACCAUAGAUAGGAUAUGUAAAGUUUUUUUUGUACAUUAUUUAACGAAAAAUUAAUAAAGGAGGUAACAAAAAAAAAAAUUCAAAAGGUACUAAAUUAAUAUACUUUAGAUUAUAAAAUAUUAAAGCGCAAAAUGCAGGAGUGAUAUUUGACCUAUUUAUUUUUUCUAAAUAUUUGACCAUUCCUCACUUGGAUUUUUUGACCAAGGAUGCGGACCUCCAAGUUCCACGAAGCUAAAAUAAAGAAGGAAAAAUAUUAUGCGGGGAGCGUCCUUACUCCUUAGAAGGGACACGAUCGAUGGCGCCCAUGCGACUUCCCCAUGGCGUCCUCCUCCUCCUCCUCCUCCUCCUCUCCGCCUUGUUCUUUCCCCAGCUGUGUACCCUCCGCGCCGAGAAGCCGCCCUUCUGGUACAGGACAACCAAUCUCUCCACCACCUGGGUCAACGACGAUUCCCUUCCCCAUGCCGACACCGUAAGUAAUAUGGGCGCGGACUCCAAUAUCGGAGUUCGCGCCAUACUUCUCCGCGCCAACCCGGCCGGAUUCGGCCCCUCCUUCGCCUGCGGCUUCUUCUGCACCGCCGAUUGCGACGCCUUCCUGUUCUCCGUAUUCAUCGUCUACAGCGACGGCGGCGGCGGCGGCAACAUCACCAACCCCGCCCCCGGCCCCCCGCACGUCGUCUGGGCCGCCAACCGCGGCCGCCCCGUCGGCCAGAACGCCACGCUCCAGCUCGCCGAAACCGGCGGCGGCUUGAUUCUCCGCGACGCCGACGGCACUCUAGUGUGGUCCGCAAACACGUCGAGCAAGAACGUGGCAGGUCUAAGCCUGACGGAAGCGGGAAACUUGGUGCUCUCCGAUCGCGCCAACGCCUCCGUCUGGCAGUCCUUCGACCACCCCACCGACACGCUCGUCAUCGGCCAGUCGCUGGCCGAGGGCAUGCGUCUCACCGCGAACCUCUCCGCCGCGAAUGACACCCCAAGCGAAUCACUGUACCUCGCCGUCUUCCCCGACGGUCUCCGCGCCUACAUCGACUCCGAUCCCCCGCAGCUCUACUAUUCAAAGGUGAUAACCCCCAGAAGCAGUAACGCAACAAGUAAGAAGUCAGCCUACGUGACCUUCCUGAAUGGCAGCCUUGCAAUCUCCACUUCAUUCACGGACCCCGACGAGGAGAUCCCCCUGCCCGCGGCCAGUACUGCAGCGUCUUUGCAGUUUAUGAGGUUGGAGCCUGACGGGCACUUAUGGCUUUACGAGUGGACCGGUAAAUACGCGAAGAUUGUAGAUGAUGUGAUGGAUAUGGACAGCUGCGAGUAUCCUACCGUAUGCGGCGACUAUGGCAUUUGCUCGAACAGCGGCCUGUGCAGCUGCCCUUCGGCAACCUACUUUCAGCCGGUUAACAAUCAGCUACCAGAUCUCGGGUGUGCCCAGUUGACACCUCUAUCUUGCCAAUCAACGCAAGAUCAUCAACUAUUACCUCUUAACAAUAUUACUUACUUCAAUUACAUCGACGCGCCGACGUUGCAGGGUGUCAGUGAAGAGAGUUGCAAGCAGGCCUGUUUGAAGAACUGUUCUUGCAAAGCUGCUCUGUUUAAGUAUGGCGGUAAUUCUUACAAUGGCUCCUGCUACUUGCCGUCGCACCUCUUUUCAUUGCAGACGAAUGAAAUUGUAAAGCCUUAUUAUAAUUCUUCUUCGUAUAUUAAGGUGCAGAACAUUCCAAAAUCCCCAACUUCUGCUUCACCCAAAAGCCCAGCCGAAAGCCCACCUGAAAGCCCAGCCGUUCCCAAGAAGAGUUCCAAAAGGAGAGCUCUGGUAGGGACUGCACUAGGAGUUGGAUUUUCUAUAAUGGUCCUCGCCAUUCUUAUUGUGAUUGCAGUACGUAAAUGUAUGGAAAGGGAAGAGGAGGAAGAGGAGGAACCAAUUUUCCAUCAAGUGCCAGGAAUGCCGAGAAUAUUUUCGUUCAAGGAGCUGAAAGAAGCAACUGACAACUUCUCCGAGAAGCUCGGAGAGGGAGGAUUCGGAUCCGUUUUCGAGGGCAAAAUAAACGACGUAAAGGUUGCCAUCAAACGCUUGGAUGGUAUAGGUCAAGGUAAGAAAGAGUUCUUCGCCGAGGUCGAGACUAUCGGCAGCAUUCACCACAUCAAUCUCGUUAAAAUGGUCGGAUUCUGCGCAGAGAAGACUCACAGGCUUUUGGUUUACGAGCACAUGUGUCACGGAUCACUCGACAAAUGGAUCUUCUACAAAGACCAAGCCACGCCCCUUGAUUGGCAAACUCGACGAAAAAUUAUCCUGGACAUAGCAAGAGGUCUAUCGUAUCUCCACGAAGAUUGCAGGCAAAAAAUUGCUCAUCUCGACAUCAAGCCGCAAAACAUCCUCCUAGAUGAGAAAUUCAAUGCAAAGGUUUCCGAUUUUGGAUUAGCGAAGCUAAUAGAUAGAGAUCAGAGUGAAGUAGUUACUCGAAUGAGAGGCACGCCGGGGUACUUAGCGCCGGAAUGGUUGACUUCAAUAAUCACCGAGAAGGUCGAUAUCUACAGCUUCGGUAUUGUCGUAACGGAGAUUAUCUGUGGGAGGAAGAACUUAGAUCAUUCCCAACCCGAAGAGAGUAUUCAUUUGAUUACCUUAUUGCAAGAAAAGGCGAAAACAAAUCGGUUGCUCGAUUUAGUUGAUAGUCACAUGAAUGAUUUACAAUUGCAGAAGGCAGAAAUAAUUGAAAUGAUGGAGCUUGCAAUGUGGUGCCUGCAGUGUGAUAGCAACAAAAGGCCUUCAAUGUCUACAGUGGUGAAGGUUUUGGAAGGUGCGAUGGGCGUGGAAACGAACCUGGAGUAUAAUUUUGUAGCUACUGGUACUCCAAUACCUAGCAGAGAUGGUUGUGCGGGUUCUUCAUUUGUUCCUCGUGCAUCUCUUUUAUCAGGGCCUAGGUAAAAGUAUAAUUUCUGUAUAACCUGUAAUUCUACUUGCUGGGUA